rnacentral:misc_RNA from 1 species
CUUACAGAAGAUCACAGCAAAAUAAUACUGUUUUCAAGCAGUAUUGUGUUCCUGUUGGUGAGUAAGGUGACCAGAGCUCCUAGGGGGAUUGGGGAUUGGGUCGGCAACGCGCUUGCGAUGCUUCUGGUGUUGCAGGUGUCUAUAGCUACGGUAAUCGCUUACCAUCAGGUGAGCCGUACGCUUGUUUGCCGACCUAGUGACAUA